GGGGUUGUGGCUCAGUGGUAGAGCACUUUCCUAGCAUGUGUGAGGUCCUGGGUUCAAUCCUCAGCACCA
rnacentral:tRNA from 1 species